AUUUGUUAAUUAAGUUUUUUUUUUCUUUCCUAAUUAGUCUUCUUCUAACAUACUAAGGAAUCAAAUAAUGCAGAAGAGUCUUGUAUCGAAGUUGACUAAUUUUGAAGUAGUUUCGGUGAUUAAGCAGAAAGAAGACAUGCUUGGUGGAGUUGAUUCAUGUUAUGCCUUGAUAGCUGAUAAGUUUUUAGUAUACCAAUUGAUUUUGAAGCUACUCCAAAGUUCGAGCUAUCAGAAGACUAUGCAUGAGGAUUUGAUUUCAUGUGUAAAAGCCAAUUAUAUGUAGAUACUUAAAGCUACUCAAAUGGACGUAUAUGAAUAUAGCCAAAGCUUUACUACUGAUUUUGCAAAUAUGCAGGUAACGACCAAUGCUUUGGUAAGCUGCAACUGUAACUAGCAACCUGAUACUUGUUUGGAUAAGUUAGAUGCCCGAAAUUUCGACAUUGUAACCGUAGAGUCAAUGCUAAAGGAACGUAUUGC
rnacentral:lncRNA from 1 species